CACCAGCGCCACGAGUGGGGACCAGUGUUAUUGGGCCUAAAGCGUCCGUAGCCGGAUUGGUAAAUCUUCUGUGAAAUUGUUAGGCUUAACCUAACAGCGUGCAGGAGACACUGCUAAUCUUGAGACCGGGAGGAGUCAGAGGUAUUCAUGGGGUAGCGGUAAAAUGCGAUAAUCCCAUGAAGACCACCUGUGGCGAAGGCGUCUGACUAGAACGGGUCUGACGGUGAGGGACGAAAGCUGGGGGAGCGAUCCGG
rnacentral:rRNA from 1 species